CGAUGACAGCAGCGCUAAGAAUCCUGCUUAGGCGCCGUCACCUUCCGGACCACUGGAAGUUGGGUCUCGAGAUCCCAUUAGAAAGAAGGGAUCCGUCUGACGGGUUCGGCGGACAUUUCAUCUGCUGCUGCCCUCGUUUGCAGCCCCGCUAGACAAGUCAGACCAGCAUCACCCAGGGAGGAGCGGAGAACCACAGCGGCGAAGCGCGCCAAUGCAUGGAAACGCGGAGGCGGGGCUAAAGGAGGCGGAAGUACAUUUCGUCGUCCGGUUCGGCCCACGUGCUUUUCGGUUUGUCCGCUGCUGUUUGGGUGCUUUGGUUCCGUCUUGUGGAGCGGGGGACAACGACACCAUUAAACUCGAACCCAAA